rnacentral:lncRNA from 1 species
GAGCGACCCACACGAAGGCUGAUGUCUGCGUCACCCUUGCAUCAACCUGAGGCGGCCAGACCAUUAGACAUUGGUUGCUACAGCAAGUGAAAAAACGCUGAUGAAAACAAG